UCACGAAAGCCAGAAACCAAAUAAAGGGAGGGAAAAUUCCCCCCUUUAUUUUCACGAAGAGCCAAACCCCUCCGUUCUCUCUCUCUCUCAUAAAAAAAUCGGCCGCCUCCGUGCUUCUUCUCUGAAGUUCGCCGCCUCCGUCGAAGCUCACCGCCGCCAAACCCCCCCGUUCUCUCUCUCUCUCAUUCGAAAAUCGGCCCCAAACCCGCCCGUGCCUCUUCUCUGAAGUUCGCCGCCUCCGUCGAAGAUCACCGCCGCCAUCGUCGGAGUUCGCCGCCUCCGUUGGAUCUCCCCUCCUCUCCUCCUCCUGCUCAACGAGGAGGAUCGUAAGAUCAGUAAUCAAACCCUCCCGUGCCCUAAUUUUUUUUGGGUAUUGAAUUUGCCCUAAUUUUUUUUGGGUAUAUUAGUAUUUGUGAUUUCUCCGUAAGUAUUUGUGAACAUCUACAUGAAUUCUCCGUAAGUUUUUUUUGGGUAUCUUAGUAUUUGUGAUUUCUCCGUAAAUUUUUUUUGGGUAUCAUUGUUAGUUGAUUAAUUUGAUUAGUUUGAUUUCAAAAAGCAGUUUAAGGUGACUUAUGUUUUAUAGGAUUGAUAUUCUGGAUGAAGCACAACUCAAGCCUGGUUGUAUUAACAGAAAAAUUGAGUUCCCUAACCCCUAUGAAGAUGUAUGAAUUUAUGCGUAACUAUCUAAUCUAACCACAUCAUAGUUUUUAUUAAAUGUUACUGCUGCUCCAUGACCUCCUGUAACAGUGAUGACCAAUUCCUAUCCUGUUCAGUCUCAUUUGGUAUUUUGAAGAUCCACUUAAGGAAGAUAAACUUGAUACGAGAGAAUGAUCUAAAAGAAGAUCGCAGAAAAAUGAAUGGUGCCUCUGCUGCAGAAUUUAAGGUUUAGAUUGUUGUUCAGCAGAAUAAGCUGAGGCAUAUUACAUGCAUUGAGAGCUAGAAAAGGAUUAGGCUUCUUUGAUCUAUUAGAUAAGAUCAUUUAUUUUAAUCAUUGUGCUCUUUUUUCGUAUUUGAGAAUGGAGAGAAUUACUACUACUAUUUUUUAUUGAUACCAUCUGUAUUGAAUGUUUGAGCACUAGUCUUCUUAAAGGAAUGUUAUUCUUCCCAAAUAUCUUUGAUGUGUCACAAUCCCUCUUUCUGCUUUCUUCUACCCUCUUGUAAGUCUUUUACAAUAUUUUUUCUUCUCAACAUGUUGCAUAUAAGUUUGCUACUACUAUUGAAUUAGGCCAAGAUUAGCCCUAAAGUUUCUGUAACACUUUAGUAUGACAGAGAUGUGAUUCUAAUAUACAUACACCUUUAUAGAGUUUGUCCAUUAGUAAAUUGAAGAAAAGGUAUUAUUUUGGUCAGGGGGCAUCUCCUAAUAUACCAACUUUAUCUCAAUGCAUAUGCUUCAUUAUUGAGUGAGUCAUAUCACUUUAUGUAACAAGGUAUCAUUAAUGCUAGCAACAACUAGCAACAUCAAGCUGUCCUAACAACCUAACAACAAUACAUUAGAUUAUAUAAAUAUAUGUAUUACAGUAAAAUUUGAAUCUGAACUACUUUGAGCUUGGGGAUAUUAAAGGAGAAUAGGAUUCGGAUUUUUGACUGCUACUUGGUAUCAGAAUAUUUUGACACCCUGAUAUGUACAUUUUGGGGGGCCAUCUCUCCAUCCAUUAAUUGACCGAUUUAGUCUUCGUUGAUCCGAAAAAUAUUUAACAUUAUGUAGCUUUGAAUUUGAAUUUUUCAAGCUUGUAUCCUGUCAUGUAACUGCUUUAGCACAGAAAUAUUGAAUAACUGAAAAAGCAUGCAUUUGUAAUCUAAGAAGGAAAAAGGCUGACAGGACUUGAGCAGUGAAUAGAGCACAGCAGCUUCUGGAUGUUAAAGCAAAAGGGAGGGAGGGAGAAUAAUCUCACUGAGAUUUUGUGUGAUGCCUUGUUCUCUUCUUUUGUUGAGGAUGCAUGAUGCAUGCAGGACUCUCUAUGACCAGCUUCCUAUUUUUGAUCAAACAUCAAACUAUCAGAUUUUGGUAGGUAUGAAAUGUAACGAGAAUAGUAAGUUAAUGUGUUAUGAGCAGGAAACAGGACUGAAACAGUACAACAUGAGGAUAAAUCAACAUCAAGUUAAAAAAAUGACCAUGAAGAUGAAAUGUGCAAGUGACAUGCGAGAGGCAAACACUGUUGCAGAUGCACUAUCUAAACUGGGUCAUGUUCUUCCUCAAAUCCAUUUGUUCUUUGUAAUUAAUGAUACAAAUUUGAUAUUGUUGUUUCUAGUUUUCUUGAUGUAAUCUGUUUUUGAGAGACUUUAUGUACUUGGGUAUGCAAGAGGAAGUUUGUAAAUUAACGCUUUUAGCACUCAAGGGGAAAUGGAAAAAUAGACUUUUAUGUUGA